UAAGUUGGUCUGGUGUCUGGAAUGAGAC
rnacentral:piRNA from 1 species